rnacentral:rRNA from 1 species
AGAGUUUGAUCCUGGCUCAGGAUGAACGCUGGCGGCGUGCCUAAUACAUGCAAGUCGAACGAGAGUAGCAAUACUCUAGUGGCGAACGGGUGAGUAACACGUAGGAAACCUACCUCAAAGACGAGGAUAACUACUGGAAACGGUAGCUAAAACUGGAUAGGAUAUACAAAGGCAUCUUAGUAUAUUUAAAAGUCCUUCUGGGAAUGCUAUGAGAUGGUCCUGCGGCGCAUUAGCUAGUUGGUGAGGUAAAGGCCCACCAAGGCGACGAUGCGUAGCUGUGCUGAGAGGCAAAACAGCCACACUGGGACUGAGACACGGCCCAGACUCCUACGGGAGGCAGCAGUAGGGAAUUUUCGGCAAUGGGCGAAAGCCUGACCGAGCAAUGCCGCGUGAAUGAAGAAAUUCUUCGGAAUGUAAAAUUCUGUGGUGAGGGAAGAAAGGUAUUAGAAGGAAAUGGCUAAUAUUUGACGGUACCUUACUAGAAAGCCCCGGCUAACUAUGUGCCAGCAGCCGCGGUAAUACAUAGGGGGCAAGCGUUAUCCGGAAUUAUUGGGCGUAAAGCGUGCGUAGGCGGCCACUUAAGUCUGUCGUGAAAGCCCACAGCUUAACUGUGGAGGGUCGAUGGAAACUGAGAGGCUUGAAUCUAGGAGAGGUAAGUGGAAUUCCAUGUGUAGCGGUAAAAUGCUUAGAUAUAUGGAGGAACACCAGUGGCGAAGGCGGCUUACUGGUCUAGAAUUGACGCUGAUGCACGAAAGCGUGGGUAGCAAACAGGAUUAGAUACCCUGGUAGUCCACGCCGUAAACGAUGAGCACUAAGUGUCGGACGUAAGUUCGGUGCUGAAGUUAACGCAUUAAGUGCUCCGCCUGGGGAGUACGGUCGCAAGACUGAAACUCAAAGGAAUUGACGGGGACUCGCACAAGCGGUGGAGCAUGUGGUUUAAUUCGACGCAACGCGAAAAACCUUACCAGGCCUUGACAUACCGAUGACGUCUUUAGAGAUAGAGAGUUACCUUCGGGUACAUCGGAUACAGGUGGUGCAUGGUUGUCGUCAGCUCGUGUCGUGAGAUGUUGGGUUAAGUCCCGCAACGAGCGCAACCC